rnacentral:rRNA from 1 species
ACUGGGAAGAGCUCAUGGCGAAAUCCGCCGUCGUUGCGACGGUCCGGAUAUUUCGCGUAUAGGAGAGACGCUUCCGAACGCCGACUCCGGUGUAAGUCCCCCUGACUGGGGCUCCUACCCCGAGAGGGUGCAAGGCCCGUAGCGGCCGGCGUCGGCUUCGGAUGUCCUCUCCGGGGAGUCGGGUUGCUUGAGAGUGCAGCCCCAAUCGGGUGGUAAACUCCAUCUAAGGCUAAAUACGACCCGGAGACCGAUAGCGAACAAGUACCGUGAGGGAAAGUUGAAAAGGACUUUGAAGAGAGAGUUCAAGAGUACGUGAAACCGUUCGAAGGUAAACGAGUGGGCCCUCGAAGCCGUAAGGCGGGGGGACUCAGCCGGGCGCCUCGGACCCGCCGCCGCGCGCGCGCUUCCCCACCGGGACGCGCCGCGGCGGAACCGGUCCGGGUUCCCGGCGCAUUUCCUCCCGCCCUCGGACGCUGCGACCGGUCGCGCGUGCCACGAGCGGUCGGCCUUACUCGCGGGGACCGGCAGGUAGCGGGGACCGCGCUUCGGCGCCUUCCCCGUGUUUAGCCACCCCGCGAUCGAGAGCCGUUCGCGCGACCGAAGGACUC